rfam:Gossypium arboreum cultivar AKA8401 contig_17737_1, whole genome shotgun sequence.
AGUCCAUGAUGUGGGCACUUUAUUAGCAUUGUAUUGAAGCAUUCCCAUGCCUCGUACAUAGAUUCACCUUUGUAUUGUUUGAAAUUGGCGAUCUCUCACCUGAGCU